rnacentral:rRNA from 2 species
UGCAGUCGAGCGAAUCGAUGGGAGCUUGCUCCCUGAGAUUAGCGGCGGACGGGUGAGUAACACGUGGGCAACCUGCCUAUAAGACUGGGAUAACUUCGGGAAACCGGAGCUAAUACCGGAUACGUUCUUUUCUCGCAUGAGAGAAGAUGGAAAGACGGUUUACGCUGUCACUUAUAGAUGGGCCCGCGGCGCAUUAGCUAGUUGGUGAGGUAAUGGCUCACCAAGGCGACGAUGCGUAGCCGACCUGAGAGGGUGAUCGGCCACACUGGGACUGAGACACGGCCCAGACUCCUACGGGAGGCAGCAGUAGGGAAUCUUCCGCAAUGGACGAAAGUCUGACGGAGCAACGCCGCGUGAACGAAGAAGGCCUUCGGGUCGUAAAGUUCUGUUGUUAGGGAAGAACAAGUACCAGAGUAACUGCUGGUACCUUGACGGUACCUAACCAGAAAGCCACGGCUAACUACGUGCCAGCAGCCGCGGUAAUACGUAGGUGGCAAGCGUUGUCCGGAAUUAUUGGGCGUAAAGCGCGCGCAGGUGGUUCCUUAAGUCUGAUGUGAAAGCCCACGGCUCAACCGUGGAGGGUCAUUGGAAACUGGGGAACUUGAGUGCAGAAGAGGAAAGUGGAAUUCCAAGUGUAGCGGUGAAAUGCGUAGAGAUUUGGAGGAACACCAGUGGCGAAGGCGACUUUUCUGGUCUGUAACUGACACUGAGGCGCGAAAGCGUG